rnacentral:rRNA from 1 species
CCUACGGGUGGCAGCAGUGGGGAAUAUUGGUCAAUGGGGGAGACCCUGAACCAGCCAAGCCGCGUGAGGGAAGAAGGUACAGCGUAUCGUAAACCUCUUUUGUCAGGGAACAAAGGCGGGGACUAGUCCCCGGAUGAGGGUACCUGAAGAAAAAGCAUCGGCAAACUCCGUGCCAGCAGCCGCGGUAAUACGGAGGAUGCGGGCGUUAUCCGGAUUUAUUGGGGUUAAAGGGUGCGCAGGCGGCCUGUUAAGUCAGCGGUAAAAGCCCGGGGCUCAACCCCGGCGAGCCGUUGAAACUGGCGGGCUGGAGUUGGAGAGAGGUACGCGGAAUGCGCGGUGUAGCGGUGAAAUGCUUAGAUAUCGCGCAGAACCCUGAUUGCGAAGGCAGCGUACCGGCUCCACACUGACGCUGAGGCGCGAAAGCGUGGGGAGCGAACAGGAUUAGAUACCCUGGUAGUC